UGUUAUAUCUACAUAAUCAACUAUAUUCUAUGUUAAAAUAACAUGCAUUUACAAAUAUCCAAAUAUUACAAUAACAUUCUGAUUGUGAUUUAGAUCAGAAGUUGAUAUAAUACUGUAUUGAAAAUCGUUCAUUUCAAAUUCCGAAACUGUAUCUCAUGCAGCAAUGCUAUCGUAAAGUCCUUCUGAUUUAGAAAGUCUGAAAAAUGAUUAAUAUAAGCGAUUUGUGGUAGUUAUACGUCUGUCAGAAUGUAUGAAACAUCACAACCAAUUUUCAAAUAAAUAUACUACACAUCCAGUGAUCUUAGUGAUCUAAAAUAAAGAUUUUAAUAUCCUUCUUUCGAAAAUAAAAUAAA
rnacentral:lncRNA from 1 species